GAUGUCACACUGCAGAGGGCUGCAUUGUCACCUUCUGUGUCACACUUACAUUUCUACUUGUUUCUAUGCCUUUGAGACCGUAGAUUAGACACAAUGGCCUGAGGAAUGGUUCUUUAAACUGUAAUCCAUUAGCUGCAAAAAUAUUUUACAGCCCAUAGAGUUUCUUAGGAUGGCUACUAGCCUUGGCAACAGGGAAAAUGGAGCAUCUAUUUAUAGAAGCAAUGAGUGAGGAGUGCAGAGACCUAGAGAUGGACCAAUUAGUAACUACUCUGUCUCGUUAGCAUUCCAUUUAGGAUGGAAUAGAAAAAGGCAAAUCUGAGGAUCAUCUGCAUGAGAUGCUGGAAACAAUGAGUCCAAUCUGAUACUGCCUCAGGGAAAUACAUAAUUACAAAACAGUAUGGGUCCCAAAAUGGGAUCUUGUAGAACCUCAGCAUUAAUGAAUGUUGCAUUAAAGAUAAAGAGGCUUAACUGGAA